CCGAUGGCUCGGAUCUUGUUUCUUAUCACCUCCUUCCUGGCUGCAGCCGUUGCUCCUGCAUUUUAAAAACACAGUUGAGAAGUCAGGUUUAACAAUAACAAGUCCUGAGAUUCUAUAUUCAACACAGUGAUGCCGUACAGAAGUUACUUAAACAUUUACCCAGUUUUGCCCUCGGCUGUGAUUGGGAACCUGAAAUGUGAGAUGCUGAGAUGAGCUGCUCAGAAAUGACAAUGAUUACAGCUACAGGAAGAGCUCUAAGCCAAUGGCUUUCAGUACAUGUGCUGCCAGACACACAAAACAGAAGGGCGUUUUUAAGAUGGCAUUCAUCUCAAACACUCAUCACGGCAAACAAAUACAACUUCAGUAGGAAAUGAUUUACCCGAGCCCUUAAAGAGAUAUUCCUCCAGGACCAGUAAGAUGGCACAUAAGUCCUACUAAUUUCCAACUUUGCACUUUAAAAAGUUCUGCAUAAUUUUUUAAAGUUAGACAGAAAGCAGUGGGGAGACACUCUGGAACCUGUGAUAUUAGAUUUGAAGAAUUAUCUAAUAAUUCAAAGCAGAUGAUGGAAGAUAAUUUUCUUGUAUACAAUUUAGAUGGUUUCGUAGAGGCAUGCAAAAAAACUGCUCUGAUUCCAUAUUCGGUGACUUGCCUGUGGUUAACAUUAGGAUAAGGCAAAAAUGUGGAUAAAGGAUAAGAGUUCCACCAUGUGGUUUGCUCCUUUAGAUGAAAGCAGAGACAUAAAUUCUAAUUUAAUCCUAAGUCUUUCCAGGGCAGCUUGAAACUAUACUUGGCUUGAAACGUAUUAGUUUUUAUUAUUUUUUCUUUCUUAUUCUACAGGGUUUCAGUUUUACCUCCAGAGUUCUUUCCUGUUAGCCAGACUUAUCACAUAUCAUAGUCUCAAACAUACUUUGCUUACACAUAUGUAUAUAUACAUAUAUAUAAGAUAGUGAUCUCAGAGUCUAAGAUUUUAGACAAAAAGAAAGUUCCAAAUAAAUAUUUCUAACUCAUGAAAGUGUCAUUAGGCUUUUAAUGCUAUUCCAGACUUCCUAUUAUACUGAACAGUAAAGAAAGCUUUGUGAUGGAGAUUGCUUGAUUUCUGUCAGCUUCUCUGCCCCCCCCCCGCCACUCCACACACUUUGGGAUCACUUACUAAUCUGUGCUCUGAAAUUAGUCUUCUUCAUUAAUGAAAAUUAACUACUAAAUGAGAUACAUCUACUUGGAUUUCGUUCUUCUCUGACAUGUACUGGGGAAUAACAAACCCAAAUUAAAACCAGACUAUCCUUUUAUCAUCCAAAAUCAGAAGUGGAAACAGGACAAAGACCCCAAUACAUAUAAACCAGAUCCUCAAAAGACAUUCAGUUGGCAUUAAACUGCCUCAAAACUUUACAAGAUAACAGAAGUUUUGUAUUUUAUUUUCAACAGAAAAGAACCACAGACCAAUUUAAAACAGUGAUCUUUUUCUAGACAGGCUAUCAAAUUCCUUUAUUUGUAAGGCAGAAGCUGAGGAGUAGAAAU